rfam:Wickerhamomyces anomalus NRRL Y-366-8 unplaced genomic scaffold WICANscaffold_5, whole genome shotgun sequence.
UCCGUGAUAGUUUAGUGGCUAGAAUCACCGUUUGUCGUUUGACAGUACAUGGUAGACCGGGGUUCAAUUCCCCGUCGCGGAG